rnacentral:rRNA from 1 species
AGAUUGAACGCUGGCGGAAUGCUUUACGCAUGCAAGUCGAACGGCAGCACGGGGGCAACCCUGGUGGCGAGUGGCGAACGGGUGAGUAAUAUAUCGGAACGUGCCCAGUCGUGGGGGAUAACGUAGAGAAAUUUACGCUAAUACCGCAUACGAUCUAAGGAUGAAAGCGGGGGAUCGCAAGACCUCGCGCGAUUGGAGCGGCUGAUAUCAGAUUAGGUUGUUGGUGAGGUAAAAGCUCACCAAGCCGACGAUCUGUAGCUGGUUUGAGAGAACGACCAGCCACACUGGGACUGAGACACGGCCCAGACUCCUACGGGAGCAGCAGUGGGAAUUUGGACAAGU